rnacentral:rRNA from 1 species
AGAAUCAACGCUGGCGGCGUGCCUAACACAUGCAAGUCGAACGAGAAAGUGGAGCAAUCCAUGAGUAAAGUGGCGCACGGGUGAGUAACACGUGACUAACCUACCCUUGAGUGGGGGAUAACCUAGGGAAACCUGGGCUAAUACCGCAUAGUACCUUCGGGUCAAAGGAGCAAUUCGCUUAAGGAGGGGGUCGCGGCCGAUUAGUUAGUUGGCGGGGUAAUGGCCCACCAAGACUGUGAUCGGUAU